UUUAGUCUUUUCAGAGGAACCUGUCCCGUAAUCGAUAAUCCACGUUAAACCUUACUUAUUUUUGUUAACAGCUUGUAUACCGCCGUCGUCAGAAUGUCCUAAGAAGGGUUUAAUUUUCUUGAAUUUUUAUUAAAAAUGAUGUCAGGUCAAGGUGUAGCUUACGAAUAAGUGGAGAUGGGUUACAAUAAAUUUAUUUAUAACGAAUAAGGAUUUGAAAAAGUCUUUUGAAGGUGGAUUUGAUGGUAAUUAACUUAAUUAAAUUAAUUUGAUUUUAGCUCUAAAACAUGCACACAUCGCCCGUCGCUCUCGUUAAUUAAGGCGAGAUAAGUCGUAACAUAGUA
rnacentral:rRNA from 1 species